rnacentral:tRNA from 1 species
GAGGGUAUAGCUCAAGUGGUAGAGCACAUGCUUAGCAUGCACGAGGUUCUGGGUUCAAUCCCCAGUACCUCCA